rnacentral:rRNA from 1 species
UACGUAGGGUGCGAGCGUUAAUCGGAAUUACUGGGCGUAAAGCGUGCGCAGGCUGUUUCGUAAGUCAGAUGUGAAAUCCCCGAGCUCAACUUGGGAACUGCGUUUGAAACUACAAGACUAGAAUAUGUCAGAGGGGGGUAGAAUUCCACGUGUAGCAGUGAAAUGCGUAGAGAUGUGGAGGAAUACCAAUGGCGAAGGCAGCCCCCUGGGAUAAUAUUGACGCUCAUGCACGAAAGCGUGGGGAGCAAACAGGAUUAGAGUACCC